UAGCUUUAUAAUUUAUAUAAAAUAAUUACCUUGAAAGUAAUAAAAGGGCCCUGACCCGAGAGCU
rnacentral:tRNA from 1 species